ACGGUGAUGCCUUCUUUUUCUUCUUCUCUUUCUUUUUAUGUGUUUUUAUCAGUAUUAAUCUCCGAUUUUCUUUCAUUUCUUUGAAAUUUGAUAAGGUGUAUUUAUAGAGUUUUUUUUAUCUGUUUAGUUGCUUUCUUUGCCUGCCUUGGUCCCUCUCUAUCAAUUUCUUGUUUGAUGUUUCAUUUCCUUUGCUCAUCAUCUGCGUUUUUUUCUACACCUCUGAUUCAUUCAUGGUUUUGACUUAUUUGUUUUGAUCUGUUCUGUUGCUGAGCUUUAAUUUGUCCCUUAGUUUAUUUUUUAAACUCAAAAUUUUGUCUUUUUGUUCAGCACAAUGUGUACCAAGACUGAUUUUAAAAAAUUAUAUUUUUUUAUGUUUAUCAAAAUAGUUACAGCAAAGGUCAAUAACACUGCAUCUGAAACAGAAAGGCACCAACAAAACAGAGCCAAACACUGCAUCAGAAACAUAGAGGCAACAACAGCAACAAAACAGAGCCAAGGCUUAAUUUGAAAAAGUUUGACCUAAUUUUUAUUGUAAUUUAAUUUGGCUUUAUUGUUUGUUGCAAUUUGAAAUUGUAAUUUGAUUUAAAUUUAGAAUUGUAAUUGUAAUUUGAUUUGGUAUUAAAAAAAUUAUGAGCCUAAUCAUUGUAAUUAUUUUAUUUCCCUUUUUAAAAUACAUAUUUCAUUUUUUAUUUUAUUUUUAAAUAAAUUGGACAAAAUUAGGGUACUACACUAAGUCUUGGAGUGUAAAAUUUAAUUAGACAUCUAACUCCGCCUGCAACGGAGUUUGGGUUUUCCGUCCGCACCCGCAUUUGAAAAAGUUUGACCUAAUUUUUAUUGUAAUUUAAUUUGGCUUUAUUGUUUGUUGCAAUUUGAAAUUGUAAUUUGAUUUAAAUUUAGAAUUGUAAUUGUAAUUGUAAAUUGAUUUGUAAAAAAAAAAAAUUUAUGAGCCUAAUCAUUGUAAUUAUUUUAUUUCCCUUUUUAAAAUAUAUUUCCUUUUUUUAUUUAUUUUUAAAUAAAUUGGACA
rnacentral:lncRNA from 1 species